UCUACGGGUGGCAGCAGUGAGGAAUAUUGGUCAAUAGACGAGAGUCUGAACCAGCCAAGUAGCGUGAAGGAUGACUGCCCUAUGGGUUGUAAACUUCUUUUAUAUGGGAAUAAAACGUUCCACGUGUGGGAUUUUGUAUGUACCAUAUGAAUAAGGAUCGGCUAACUCCGUGCCAGCAGCCGCGGUAAUACGGAGGAUCCGAGCGUUAUCCGGAUUUAUUGGGUUUAAAGGGAGCGUAGGUGGAUUGUUAAGUCAGUUGUGAAAGUUUGCGGCUCAACCGUAAAAUUGCAGUUGAAUCUGGCAGUCUUGAGUACAGUAGAGGUGAGCGGAAUUCGUGGUGUAGCGGUGAAAUGCUGAGAUAUCACGAAGAACUCCGAUUGCGAAGGCAGCCUACUAAACUGCCACUGACAUUGAUGCUCGAAAGUGUGGGUAUCAAACAGGAUUAGAUACCCCAGUAGUC
rnacentral:rRNA from 1 species